UACGUAGGGACCGAGCGUUGUCCGGAUUCAUUGGGCGUAAAGAGCUCGUAGGCGGCUGCUCAAGUCGAAUGUGAAAACUCGAGGCUCAACCUCGAGCCUGCAUUCGAUACUGGGCGGCUAGAGUCUGGUAGGGGGAUCUGGAAUUCCUAGUGUAGCGGUGGAAUGCGCAGAUAUCAGGAGGAACACCGGUGGCGAAGGCGGGAUCCUGGGCCAGUACUGACGCUGAGGAGCGAAAGCGUGGGGAGCAAACAGG
rnacentral:rRNA from 1 species